rnacentral:lncRNA from 1 species
UGAAUUUUUUAAUAUAGAAACUUUACUAUCUUUAUUUGAUACUUAUGUUACAAGUAUAAUGAAUUAUGCCAGUGAAGUCUGGGGCUUUCAUAAAGCCGAAGAUAUAGAAAAAUUGCAUUUGUAUUAUAUGAAAAGAAUUUUAAAAGUUAGAAAAGGAACUGUUAAUAACAUGGUAUAUUUUGAGUUAGGCAGAGUGCCCUUGUAUGUAAAUAGAUAUGUGAAAAUGGUAACCUACUGGUUGAGAUUGUUAGACACAGAGAACUGUAUUUUAAAACAUGUAUAUAAUGAUAUGUACGAAUCUAGUUGUGUGAAGCCAAAUGACAAGC